UGGGCAACCUGCCCCUCUCUCUGGGAUAACCCCCGGGAAACCGGAGCUAAUACCGGAUACUCCGGCUGGAUCGCAUGGUCCGGCCGGGAAAGGUCCGCCGGAGAGGGAUGGGCCCGCGGCCUAUCAGCUUGUUGGUGGGGUCAUGGCUCACCAAGGCGACGACGGGUAGCCGGCCUGAGAGGGCGAUCGGCCACACUGGGACUGAGACACGGCCCAGACUCCUACGGGAGGCA
rnacentral:rRNA from 1 species